rfam:Daphnia pulex DAPPTscaffold_122_Cont5077, whole genome shotgun sequence.
GAAAGUGUGGUCUAUGGCGCUGGUUUAGGCACCAGUCCCUUUGGAGGCAAGGGUUCGAAUCCCUUCACUGUCA